rnacentral:rRNA from 1 species
CACGUAGGGCGCGAGCGUUGUCCGGAAUUAUUGGGCGUAAAGAGCUCGUAGGCGGUUUGUUGCGUCGGCUGUGAAAACCUGAGGCUCAACCUCAGGCCUGCAGUGGGUACGGGCAGACUAGAGUGUGGUAGGGGGAGACUGGAAUUCCUGGUGUAGCGGUGAAAUGCGCAGAUAUCAGGAGGAACACCGAUGGCGAAGGCAGGUCUCUGGGCCACUACUGACGCUGAGAAGCGAAAGCAUGGGGGAGCGAACAGG